AACCUCCGCAAUGUGAGAAAUCGCGACGGGGGGAUCCCAAGUGCCAUUCUUAACGGGAUGGCUUUUCAUUAGUGUAAAGAGCUUUUGGAAUAAGAGCUGGGCAAGACCGGUGCCAGCCGCCGCGGUAACACCGGCAGCUCUAGGGGUAACAAUUUUUAUUGGGCCUAAAGCGUCCGUAGCCGGUUUAAUAAGUCUCUGGUGAAAUCCUGUAGCUUAACUGUGGGAAUUGCUGGAGAUACUAUUAGACUUGAGACCGGGAGAGGUUAGAGGUACUCCCAGGGUAGAGGUGAAAUUCUGUAAUCCUGGGAGGACCGCCUGUUGCGAAGGCGUCUAACUGGAACGGUUCUGACGGUGAGGGACGAAAGUUAGGGGCGCGAACCGGAUUAGAUACCCGGGUAGUCCUAACUGUAAACGAUGCGGACUUGGUGUUGGGGUGGCUUUGAGCUGCUUCAGUGCCGAAGGAAGCUGUUAAGUCCGCCGCCUGGGAAGUACGGUCGCAAGACUGAAACUUAAAGGAAUU
rnacentral:rRNA from 1 species